AACGAACGCUGGCGGCAGGCCUAACACAUGCAAGUCGAGCGAGAUCUUCGGAUCUAGCGGCGGACGGGUCGAGUAACGCGUGGGAAUAUGCCCUUCUCUACGGAAUAGCCUCGGGAAACUGAGAGUAAUACCGUAUACGCCCUUCGGGGGAAAGAGUUUAUCGGAGAAGGAUUAGCCCGCGUUGGAUUAGGUAGUUGGUGGGGUAAUGGCCUACCAAGCCGACGAUCCAUAGCUGGUUUGAGAGGAUGAUCAGCCACACUGGGACUGAGACACGGCCCAGACUCCUACGGGAGGCAGCAGUGGGGAAUCUUAGACAAUGGGGGCAACCCUGAUCUAGCCAUGCCGCGUGAGUGAUGAAGGCCUUAGGGUCGUAAAGCUCUUUCGCCUGUGAUGAUAAUGACAGUAGCAGGUAAAGAAACCCCGGCUAACUCCGUG
rnacentral:rRNA from 1 species